AUACUUACCUGGCAGGGUAAUGAAGGUGGUUUUCCCAGGAUGAGGCUUAUCCUUUCACACCGGAUGUGCUGACCACUGUUAUUUCCCCAAAUGUGGGGAACUCGACUGCAUAAUUUGUGGUAGUGGGGGACUGUGUUCAUGCUUUCCCCUG
ensembl:snRNA U1 U1 spliceosomal RNA